rnacentral:RNase_MRP_RNA from 1 species
GGGUUAUUCCUAGCCUUGCUAUCGAAGAUUGGCGACAAUUUUCGAGGAAAUUCCCUGGACCUUGGGCAGAAAGUGUCGGUCGUUGACGACUCCAUCAGUUGAGACGGGUUACCGCUGUGACUCUCCGGAUGAGCCUGAACCCGUCAGAUUGUGUUGGUCAAAGCAAAGUGAUGCAAGGGAAGUUUGCAACUCAACAGGGGUCACUCAGGAAUAACG